rnacentral:rRNA from 1 species
GGGUAGUCCACGCCCUAAACGAUGUCAACUAGCUGUUGGGGCCGUUAGGCCUUAGUAGCGCAGCUAACGCGUGAAGUUGACCGCCUGGGGAGUACGGUCGCAAGAUUAAAACUCAAAGGAAUUGACGGGGACCCGCACAAGCGGUGGAUGAUGUGGAUUAAUUCGAUGCAACGCGAAAAACCUUACCUACCCUUGACAUGUCUGGAAAGCCGAAGAGAUUUGGCCGUGCUCGCAAGAGAACCGGAACACAGGUGCUGCAUGGCUGUCGUCAGCUCGUGUCGUGAGAUGUUGGGUUAAGUCCCGCAACGAGCGCAACCCUUGUCAUUAGUUGCUACGCAAGAGCACUCUAAUGAGACUGCCGGUGACAAACCGGAGGAAGGUGGGGAUGACGUCAAGUCCUCAUGGCCCUUAUGGGUAGGGCUUCACACGUCAUACAAUGGUCGGGACAGAGGGUCGCCAACCCGCGAGGGGGAGCCAAUCUCAGAAACCCGAUCGUAGUCCGGAUCGCAGUCUGCAACUCGACUGCGUGAAGUCGGAAUCGCUAGUAAUCGCGGAUCAGAAUGUCGCGGUGAAUACGUUCCCGGGUCUUGUACACACCGCCCGUCACACCAUGGGAGUGGGUUUCACCAGAAGUAGGUAGCCUAACCGCAAGGAGGGCGCUAC